rnacentral:rRNA from 1 species
AGUGAACGCUGGCGGUAGGCCUAACACAUGCAAGUCGAACGGCAGCACAGUAAGAGCUUGCUCUUACGGGUGGCGAGUGGCGGACGGGUGAGGAGUACAUCGGAAUCUACUUUUUCGUGGGGGAUAACGUAGGGAAACUUACGCUAAUACCGCAUACGACCUACGGGUGAAAGCAGGGGAUCUUCGGACCUUGCGCGAUUGAAUGAGCCGAUGUCGGAUUAGCUAGUUGGCGGGGUAAAGGCCCACCAAGGCGACGAUCCGUAGCUGGUCUGAGAGGAUGAUCAGCCACAUUGGAACUGAGACACGGUCCAGACUCCUACGGGAGGCAGCAGUGGGGAAUAUUGGACAAUGGGCGCAAGCCUGAUCCAGCCAUACCGCGUGGGUGAAGAAGGCCUUCGGGUUGUAAAGCCCUUUUGUUGGGAAAGAAAAGCAGCAGGUUAAUACCCCGCUGUUCUGACGGUACCCAAAGAAUAAGCACCGGCUAACUUCGUG